CCCGGGGAUCCGAUUCCUACGGGAGGCAGCAGAGAAUUUUGGGCAAUGGGCGAAAGCCUGACCCAGCAACGCCGCGUGAAGGAUGAAAUCCCUCGGGAUGUAAACUUCGCAAGAACAGGAAGAAUAAGUGGGAGUUAAUAUCUCUCACGAUGACGGUACUGUUUGUAAGCUCCGGCUAACUCCGUGCCAGCAGCCGCGGUAAUACGGGGGGAGCAAGCGUUGUUCGGAUUUACUGGGCGUAAAGGGCGCGUAGGCGGCCACCGCAAGUCGACUGUGAAAUCUCUGGGCUUAACCCAGAACGGUCAGCCGAUACUGCGGGGCUAGAGUGCAGAAGGGGCAACUGGAAUUCUCGGUGUAGCGGUGAAAUGCGUAGAUAACGAGAGGAACACCUGCGGCGAAGGCGGGUUGCUGGGCUGACACUGACGCUGAGGCGCGAAAGCUAGGGGAGCGAACGGGAUUAGAUACCCCGGUAGUCCUAGCCUUAAACGAUGAAUGCUUGGUGUCUGGGGUUUUAUAGUCCCCGGGUGCCGUCGCUAACGCUUUAAGCAUUCCGCCUGGGGAGUACGGUCGCAAGACUGAAACUCAAAGGAAUUGACGGGGACCCGCACAAGCGGUGGAUGAUGUGGAUUAAUUCGAUGCAACGCGAAAAACCUUACCUACCCUUGACAUGGCAGGAACUUUCCAGAGAUGGAUUGGUGCUCGAAAGAGAACCUGCACACAGGUGCUGCAUGGCUGUCGUCAGCUCGUGUCGUGAGAUGUUGGGUUAAGUCCCGCAACGAGCGCAGCCCUUGUCAUUAGUUGCUACGAAAGGGCACUCUAAUGAGACUGCCGGUGACAAACCGGAGGAAGGUGGGGAUGACGUCAAGUCCUCAUGGCCCUUAUGGGUAGGGCUUCACACGUCAUACAAUGGUCGGUACAGAGGGUUGCCAAGCCGCGAGGUGGAGCCAAUCCCAGAAAACCGAUCGUAGUCCGGAUCGCAGUCCGCAACUCGACUGCGUGAAGUCGGAAUCGCUAGUAAUCGCGGAUCAGAAUGCCGCGGUGAAUACGUUCCCGGGCCUUGUACACACCGCCAUCCAU
rnacentral:rRNA from 1 species